GAAGCGCGGGCGUCUGCCCUCCCGCCGCCCGUUUCGAGGUCGUGGAGAGGAGAGGAAAUGGCCCCGGAGCAACCACGCAGCUGCCUGAUCGUCUGGCCCGACCGCGCCUCAGUAGACCUCGGUCCUGGUCUGAGCAGCCGGGCUGGUGCGGGUGUCCUCACUAGGAUAAUGAAUACAGCUCCACUACCAAUACGACCAAGCGCUCUUCGGGCCUGUGCCCCCGACCUGGUGGCCUGCACCAGUGAUAGGGCAAUUUGACUCCUAAUCGUGGGGGCUUGCGAUACCAUCUCUACCUACAGACACCCACUGCCUGUCCCUGCACAGUAAACCUUCCUGCUCCACAGGGCUGCCUCCCCACUGGAAUUCCCGCGGUGUUCCUGGUUCUGCAAAGUCUGUCUGUCCUCCCGGGUGGCCAUGGUACCCUCCCUACUACUCCACUUCUCCCUAGCAGUCACAAGCAGCAAAGUGGGAUGGGAGCUCGACACUGACUAGGCCUAUAACAGUCUUACGUGCAGCAGAGGAGCUGCAGCUUCUCAAACCAGACAGAGGGAAAGAGGUUUCUCAUUAGCAUCCCUCCACCUCUGGAAGCUUCUCCCAGGUCCCCAAGGCCGGCCUAAGAGCCUUUUCCAGCAGCCAGCCUUGCAAUGAUACCCUUCCCCUCCACCUCCGAAGCUUAGAGACUGGGAUUACCGUGUUGGACUAGGACUGCAGAAGGCCUUUGCUGGUUCUGCACUUUCCUUUGAGCUCAGGACGUCACAACUCAUCAUGCAAUUGUGAUUAUUAUUACAGUCCUUUCUAUAGUGCUAGUGUACCCACCAGGCUGGACACUUCAAAAUGGCAGGGCUAUUAUCUGUGUGGCUACUACUACCUCGCAGCAAGGCUUGUUGAGCCCUUACAUUACUAUAGAUGUCUUGGCCAGCUGGUUUGUUGUUAUAGCGACAGUGGACUGCAGUGUUCUGCUGAGACAACCAAGAAUUCCUCCAGACAUGACUCAAACAUCCCCCAAGUGACAAAAUUACCUAAAAUUGAUAGCCUUCUCUCCACGACCUAUCCUGGUGCCCCUGAAAUAACUGAAUGCACAACUCUGCUCUGUCUUAG
rnacentral:lncRNA from 1 species